rnacentral:rRNA from 1 species
UGGGGAAUAUUGCACAAUGGGCGCAAGCCUGAUGCAGCCAUGCCGCGUGUAUGAAGAAGGCCUUCGGGUUGUAAAGCACUUUCAGCGGGGAGGAAGGCGUUAAGGUUAAUAACCUUGGCGAUUGACGUUACCCGCAGAAGAAGCACCGGCUAACUCCGUGCCAGCAGCCGCGGUAAUACGGAGGGUGCAAGCGUUAAUCGGAAUUACUGGGCGUAAAGCGCACGCAGGCGGUCUGUCAAGUCGGAUGUGAAAUCCCCGGGCUCAACCUGGGAACUGCAUUCGAAACUUGCAGGCUAGAGUCUUGUAGAGGGGGGUAGAAUUCCAGGUGUAGCGGUGAAAUGCGUAGAGAUCUGGAGGAAUACCGGUGGCGAAGGCGGCCCCCUGGACAAAGACUGACGCUCAGGUGCGAAAGCGUGGGGAGCAAACAGG